AACAUUUGGCGCCCAACGUGGGGCCUGAAGGAUUGGACCUCCUGCUGGCGUACCCCCAGUGACUGGACCAGGAGAGACGAGCCAACGGACACCGGGACCGCGGCCCGUAAUAAGAGAUCCUGACUCACUAGAAGGCAGCCACACUCUGAAACCAGGAGAGUGGGUAGUGGUCAAGAAACACGUCAGAAGUACCCUAGAACCACGCUUCGAGGGGCCCUACCAAGUACUACUGACCACUCCGACUUCUGUAAAGCUCGAAGGAAGAUCCACCUGGAUCCACGCCUCUCACUGCAAAAGGAUAAGGAACCCGCCAGAUCCAGAGCUAAUAAAAUGAUUUUCUUCUGUCUGUUAGCAC